rnacentral:rRNA from 1 species
AGGACGAACGCUGGCGGCGUGCUUCACACAUGCAAGUCGAACGGGGCUCAUUCGGUGGUAACACCGGAGAAGGCCUAGUGGCGAACGGGUGCGUAACACGUGAAGAACCUGCCCCGAAGACUGGGAUAACAGCGGGAAACCGCUGCUAAUACCGGAUGACCCCACCAGGCCGCAUGGCCAGGUGAGGAAAUGGGCCUACCGCUUCGGGAGGGCUUCGCGGCCUAUCAGCUUGUUGGUGGGGUAACGGCCUACCAAGGCUACGACGGGUAGCUGGUCUGAGAGGACGACCAGCCACACUGGGACUGAGACACGGCCCAGACUCCUACGGGAGGCAGCAGUGGGGAAUCGUUGCGCAAUGGGCGAAAGCCUGACGCAGCAACGCCGCGUGAGGGAUGAAGGUCUUCGGGUUGUAAACCUCUUUCGAGCAGGGACGAUUGUGACGGUACCUGCAGAAGAAGCUCGGCCAACUACGUGCCAGCAGCCGCGGU